UACGGGGGGUGCGAGCGUUGUCCGGAAUCAUUGGGCGUAAAGGGCGCGUAGGUGGCCCGGUCAGUCUUUGGUGAAAGCGCGGGGCUCAACCCUGCGUCGGCCAGGGAUACUGCCGCGGCUCGAGCACUGUAGAGGCAGGCGGAAUUCCGGGUGUAGCGGUGGAAUGCGUAGAGAUCCGGAAGAACACCGGUGGCGAAGGCGGCCUGCUGGGCAGUUUGGCUGACACUGAGGCGCGACAGCGUGGGGAGCAAACAGG
rnacentral:rRNA from 1 species